rnacentral:rRNA from 1 species
AUGAACGCUAGCUACAGGCUUAACNCAUGCAAGUCGAGGGGAAACGAUAUUGGAAGCUUGCUUCCGAUAGGCGUCGACCGGCGCACGGGUGAGUAACGCGUAUCCAACCUGCCCAUCACGUUGGGGAUAACCUUGCGAAAGUAAGACUAAUACCCAAUGACGUCUCUAGAAGACAUCUGAAAGAGAUUAAAGAUUUAUCGGUGAUGGAUGGGGAUGCGUCUGAUUAGCUUGUUGGCGGGGUAACGGCCCACCAAGGCGACGAUCAGUAGGGGUUCUGAGAGGAAGGUCCCCCACAUUGGAACUGAGACACGGUCCAAACUCCUACGGGAGGCAGCAGUGAGGAAUAUUGGUCAAUGGACGAGAGUCUGAACCAGCCAAGUAGCGUGCAGGAAGACGGCCCUAUGGGUUGUAAACUGCUUUUAUAAGGGAAUAAAGUGAGUCUCGUGAGACUUUUUGCAUGUACCUUAUGAAUAAGGACCGGCUAAUUCCGUG